AGCUAAAAAAUGAAACUUCAUUUGCCGAGCAUACCAGUGAGUUCCAAAACCUGGUCAACCAGUUGUCGUCUGUAAAGAUGCCACUUAGCGAUGAAGUUCAGGCGCUGUUACUACUCAGUUCCCUUCUCGAUAAUUGGGAAACGCUGGUCGUAUCACUCAGCAACUCAGCCCCUAAUGGCAAACUUACCAUGUCAAUGGUCAAGGAUGCCCUAUUCAG
rnacentral:lncRNA from 1 species